ACCUAGCUGGCUCAGUCUGUAGAACACGUGAUUCUUGAUCAUGGGGUUAUGAGUUUGAGCCCCAAGCUGGGUG
rnacentral:tRNA from 1 species